GAGCACAGAAGGAACAAAAAAAAAGCUGCCCACUUGUUGCCUUUUUGUUUUAUUAUUUUAAUAGAAGGUCAGUGAUGAACCACAGUCUUUUCUUUCUCCCCAAUCUAUGGUGGUUGAAGAGCACUUGGCAAUCAGCAGAACAAGGAUUUAGGAAGAGUGGAAUCAUUAUCUGGCUUUCUAUGGGCUGCCAAAAGACAGAAGAGCAACCCCAAGUACAUGCUGCAGAACUUUGUAAAUGCACUCUUUCUAAGGCCUUUGGAUGUGGAGCACUGAAAAGAGACCAGAACAGACAUGAAAUGGUUAUUUUCAUUUUUCAUUAUAACUUGAGUCAUCCAAAAGAGAACGCUAAAAUUCCCUUGGAGACAGAAAUUUUGAGUUUGGCCAACUUUGUUCACCUUUCAUACUCCAUGUUCUGACGCACUGAGGCAAAGGAACUGCUGAGAAUAACCUUUAUCACUGCAUAUUUCAUCCAUUCCAGAACAACUUCAUUUUCUGCAAUGACUGAAAGAAAAGGUCUGCAUCAAAAAGAUCCAGGUACAAAACUAGAGGAUAUCAAGAAAGAAGAAAGUGCGGUCCGGUUUUCUGAGGUUAUUUCUGAUUUAUUGUUGAUGCUUUGUUGCAGUGAUCCAGCACUGCUGCAUGCCAGAAACAGAGGGUAUGAAUGAUUUCAGAGGUGUGAAGUACAGGUGAUUCCAAGUGUGGGAAAUAAAGUGCUUGGAAACUGAAGCCUGUAUAGUUUCAUCCAUUUCUUUGCCCUGGCUAAAGACAAAAGUUUGGCCAUAAUAUUCAUGAAUAAAAUAUGAAUGAUUAUUUUUGUUAGCAGGUGCCAUUUCACCAUUGCCAAAACACUGCAAAGCAAUAUCGACCCUGGCAAAAUUAGAGAGAGACUAAGAAACCUGAAGUAUGAGAAGCAACUAUGCUUCUCCUAACCUAAAGGGUAGCUCUGCUUUUCAUCAGAGCCAGGGUUUGUAGCACUCUCAUUUUUCAGACAGCAAAUAAUUUUUUUAAACAAAGGUGGUUUCUGAAAAAUGCAGCAGAAGGACGCGUUCUAUCUGUGGUUGUGCAAAACUUGGGGACUGCUCUGGAUGAAUGCACUGUAUGUUAUUCAGCAUGUAUAUGACCUGCUCAAGCCCAUUCUUAGUAGCAGGUCCUCCCUUGCUGUUC